rnacentral:rRNA from 1 species
AUAGAACAUGAAAGUGGCGCACGGGUGCGUAACACGUAUGCAACCUACCUUUAAUAGGAGAAUAGCUUCGAGAAAUCGGAAUUAAUACUCCAUAACAUAAUUGAGUGGCAUCACUUGGUUAUCAAACCUCCGGGGAUUAAAGAUGAGCAUGCGCAACAUUAGCUAGUUGGUAAGGUAAUGGCUUACCAAGGCUACGAUGUUUAGGGGGUCUGAGAGGAUGAUCCCCCACACUGGUACUGAGACACGGACCAGACUCCUACGGGAGGCAGCAGUAGGGAAUAUUGGGCAAUGGAGGCAACUCUGACCCAGCCAUGCCGCGUGUAGGAAGAAUGCCCUCUGGGUUGUAAACUACUUUUAUACGGGAAGAAAAAAUACUACGUGUAGUAUACUGACGGUACCGUAAGAAUAAGGAUCGGCUAACUCCGUGCCAGCAGCCGCGGUAAUACGGAGGAUUCGAGCGUUGUCCGGAUUUAUUGGGUUUAAAGGGUGCGUAGGCGGAUUUUUAAGUCAGUGGUGAAAGCCUGCAGCUCAACUGUAGAAUUGCCAUUGAAACUGAAAAUCUUGAAUUUGGUUAAAGUAGGCGGAAUGUAUCAUGUAGCGGUGAAAUGCUUAGAUAUGAUACAGAACACCGAUAGCGAAGGCAGCUUGCUGAACCAAUAUUGACGCUGAGGCACGAAAGCGUGGUGAGCAAACAGGAUUA